GGGCAUGACAGAAAAGUUACCCCGGGGAUAACAGGGUCGUCGCGGGCGAGAGCUCACAUCGACCCCGCGGUUUGCUACAUCGAUGUCGGCUCUUCCCACCCUGGGGGUGCAGCUGCCCCCAAGGGUAGGGCUGCCCGCCCGUUAAAGGGGAGCGUGAGCUGGGUUUAGACCGUCGCGAGACAGGUCGGACUCUAAGGGUAGGGGGUGCGGGCCGCCUGCGGGAAAGGAACCCCUAGUACGAGAGGAACAGGGUUCCGGGGCCUCCAGUUUACCGGUUGUCCGGUAGGGCACUGCCGGGCAGCCGCGCCCUGAGGGGUAACCGCUGAAAGCAUCUAAGCGGGAACCCCUCCCCUAAAAGAGGCGGCCACUGGGCCCUCCCCCAGAAGAGGGGGUUGAUGGGGUGGGGGUGUAAGCCCCGAGGCGUAAGCCGAGGGGUUUAGCCCGCCACUCCCAAUCGGGCCCAGCUCCUAGGUG
rnacentral:rRNA from 1 species